rnacentral:tRNA from 1 species
GGUGGAUGUAGCUCAGCAGGUUAGAGCGUCGGAUUGUGGUUCCGAAGGUCGCCGGUUCGAGCCCGGUCUUCCACCC